rnacentral:rRNA from 3 species
UUUCAACAACGGAUCUCUUGGCUCUCGCAUCGAUGAAGAACGCAGCGAAAUGCGAUAAGUAAUGUGAAUUGCAGAAUUCAGUGAAUCAUCGAAUCUUUGAACGCACCUUGCGCUCCUUGGUAUUCCGAGGAGCAUGCCUGUUUGAGUGU